AAAAGUUCAAAAAUAGAGGAGUGUCGGGACAAGAAUAGAGUAAAAAAAAGAAAAAAAAAGGUCAAAAAAUAGAGUCAAAAAAAGCCCCAAAGAGAAAAAAAAUCAAAAUCAAACAAAAGAACAAGUUGCCGGAACUAUGUUUGACCUCAUUCUUCUUUUUUGGGGGUGAGAUAUGUAGGCAACCUAAUUUGAGUCUGGCCUAAUUAAAUAAAAAAAUUAGAAUUAUUCAGUCAAAAUAAACUGAGACAUAGUUUGAUCUUUGUUGUUUGAGUCGAUUCCAAAAGUUGUAAUUCCCACCCCACUCCAAGUGUUGUUUGAGCCUCAUGUUAUCAUUUCUUUCCAACC
rnacentral:lncRNA from 1 species